rnacentral:misc_RNA from 1 species
CCGGGUGAGUCAUCGAAUCUUUGAACGCACAUUGCGCCCGCUAGUAUUCUGGCGGGCAUGCCUGUUCGAGCGUCCUUUGGGACCCUCGGGCCGGGGCGACAGCCCCUGGCCCGGUGUUGGGUGGCCGCGGCAGCCGCGCCCCCCUAAAUACAGUGGCGGACCCCUCAGCGGCCCUGGCGCAGUAACGCAUCUCGCCUUCGGCAGCUUGGUGGGCCCCGCCCCCAGCAACUAAAAAUUAAUAGCUGGACCUCGAAUCAGGUAGGAAUACCCGCUGAACUUAAGCAUAUCAAUAAGCGGAGG